rnacentral:rRNA from 1 species
AACGCUAGCUACAGGCUUAACACAUGCAAGUCGAGGGGCAGCAUUAUCGAAGCUUGCUUUGAUAGAUGGCGACCGGCGCACGGGUGAGUAACGCGUAUCCAACCUUCCCCAUAGUCAGGAAUAGCCCGGCGAAAGUCGAAUUAAUGCCUGAUGUUUUCCACGGACGGCAUCUGAUGUGGAACAAAGAUUCAUCGCUAUGGGAUGGGGAUGCGUCUGAUUAGCUUGUUGGCGGGGUAACGGCCCACCAAGGCAACGAUCAGUAGGGGUUCUGAGAGGAAGGUCCCCCACAUUGGAACUGAGACACGGUCCAAACUCCUACGGGAGGCAGCAGUGAGGAAUAUUGGUCAAUGGGCGAGAGCCUGAACCAGCCAAGUAGCGUGCAGGAUGACGGCCCUUAGGGUUGUAAACUUCUUUUAUAAGGGAAUAACGUCAGUAACGAGUUACUGAUUGCAUGUACCUUAUGAAUAAGGAUCGGCUAACUCCGUGCCAGCAGCCGCGGUAAUACGGAGGAUCCGAGCGUUAUCCGGAUUUAUUGGGUUUAAAGGGUGCGUAGGCGGGAGAGGAAGUCAGUUGUGAAAUUUUAUGGCUCAACCAUAAACUUGCAGUUGAAACUCCGUUUCUUGAGUACACAUGAGGUGGGCGGAAUUUGUGGUGUAGCGGUGAAAUGCUUAGAUAUCACGAAGAACUCCGAUUG